rnacentral:rRNA from 1 species
AUUGAACGCUGGCGGAAUGCUUUACACAUGCAAGUCGAACGGCAGCACGGACUUCGGUCUGGUGGCGAGUGGCGAACGGGUGAGUAAUACAUCGGAACGUGCCCAAUCGUGGGGGAUAACGUAGCGAAAGCUACGCUAAUACCGCAUACGAUCUAAGGAUGAAAGCGGGGGAUCGCAAGACCUCGCGCGAUUGGAGCGGCCGAUGGCAGAUUAGGUAGUUGGUAGGGUAAAGGCCUACCAAGCCGACGAUCUGUAGCUGGUCUGAGAGGAUGAUCAGCCACACUGGGACUGAGACACGGCCCAGACUCCUACGGGAGGCAGCAGUGGGGAAUUUUGGACAAUGGACGCAAGUCUGAUCCAGCCAUUCCGCGUGCAGGAUGAAGGCCCUCGGGUUGUAAACUGCUUUUGUACGGAACGAAAAGGUCUCUCUUAAUACGGGGGGCUCAUGACGGUACCGUAAGAAUAAGCACCGGCUAACUACGUGUCAGCAGCCGCAGUAA